rnacentral:lncRNA from 1 species
AACAGUGCUCAUAGCCUCGGAGAGUUUGGUGCAGGAGGCAGACAUUUAAGCAGUCAACUAUGACACAAUGCAGAGAUUAAAGUGCGGUCUCGCUCCAGAGAAUAAGAGCUGUGAAAGGAGCCUCGAGAUGUGGGGGCGGCAGACAGAGCCUGCACCUCGUGGAGCAGCGGAGGCAUGAUGGAUCCUUGCUGUGACUGGUGCCUGGACAUCCCUGCCAACCACCUUGGAGAAUGGCACCUUCUGAGUGUGCCUGAACCACUCUUCUCCUUGGCUACCACUCUGAGUACUAUCCCUAGAGACUACUGGCCACACACAUCCACAGUCUCAAUGUCCA